CAAGCUAAAUAACUAAAUUCUCCUCGCUUUAAAUUCAAAACUAUUUCAUCCAUAAAUCUCGCCUUUUGCUCCAUCUUUCCUAUCUCAAACCCCUUCCCUCUUCCCGGUACACGACCACCGCUAUCUUGGUCUUUAGAAGAUAUGAAUUCCCUAUUUGUUUACGAUAACUACCCACAUGUGAACCCUUUAUAACCUCUCCUUUUAGUAUUUGAACUCAGAUCUUGUGAUUUCUAAUAUUUCAUGACGAUUUCAACAGCAACAUGAGAUGUGCAUUAGGCGAUAAAGUCACCGAAGCAAUCAUGUUCCCGUCUAAGAUACCUUAUAUGUGAGUGUGAUCGGCUGACCUCCGGCUACAAAGGGAAACAUUGGCGUCUUGCUUCUGGGAAGUUUGAUAGGGUAGGGCAUGUGAAUGUAUGUGUGUGUUGGAAAGGAGAGAGAGAGGAGAGAGAGUUCAGAGAAAAUCAAGGGAUUUUAAUUUAUCUCAGGCUCACGUUGAGUAAACAUUCUGUUUUCCUUUAAGCAUGCGUAAAAAAGUACUAAAUUUUUUAUUACUUCAAAUCUUGACCCUCCUUUAUUUUGAUAUAAUGGAAUUAAAAUUGACUUC